UACGUAGGUGGCAAGCGAUACUCGGAAUCACUAGGCGUAAAGGGCGCGUAGGCGGCCACCGCAAGUCGGUUGUGAAAUCUCCGGGCUUAACCCGGAAAGGUCAAUCGAUACUGCGGGGCUAGAGUGCAGAAGGGGCAACUGGAAUUCUCGGUGUAGCGGUGAAAUGCGUAGAUAUCGAGAGGAACACCUGCGGCGAAGGCGGGUUGCUGGGCUGACACUGACGCUGAAGCGCGAAAGCUAGGGGAGCGAACGGG
rnacentral:rRNA from 1 species